CUAACCUUUAAACUCAGUCCAGAGAGGCUGGGAAGGUAAUAAAAAUGGAUAAUAUAUUUUGCAAAAUAACAGAAACCCUUGGCAAAACAAAAGCCAAGGGUAUUUUUUUA
rfam:Omnitrophica WOR_2 bacterium RIFCSPLOWO2_01_FTLL_41_12 rifcsplowo2_01_scaffold_4258, whole genome shotgun sequence.